rnacentral:rRNA from 1 species
CAGUCGCCACGGGAAUACAGAGGGUGCGAGCGUUAAUCGGAUUUACUGGGCGUAAAGCGUGCGUAGGCGGCUUCCUAAGUCGGAUGUGAAAUCCCUGAGCUUAACUUAGGAAUUGCAUUCGAUACUGGGAAGCUAGAGUAUGGGAGAGGAUGGUAGAAUUCCAGGUGUAGCGGUGAAAUGCGUAGAGAUCUGGAGGAAUACCAAUGGCGAAGGCAGCCAUCUGGCCUAAUACUGACGCUGAGGUACGAAAGCAUGGGGAGCAAACAGGAUUAGAUACCCCAGUAGUCCCUGUCUCUUAUAC